AGACCUCUCCACAGAAGAGGAGGCGGAUUUUGAGUGAAAAACCGACAUCACCAGCUCGGAGCUCUUCUAUGACAUCAACCUCAACCAUUAGUUAGCUAUUUUUUAUUUUCAUAAUUAUUUUUGGCUUUGUAAUAUAAUUUCAAAUAAUUUUAUUUUUUUGUUUUAAAUUUAUUUUUAAUUUAAAUAUUAUAAAAAUUAUUUUAAUAUUAAUAAA
rnacentral:lncRNA from 1 species